rnacentral:lncRNA from 1 species
ACAAAACAUCAAGCCAACAGUUCAGGACUAGUCAUUCAAAUGGACUAAAGGUGGGGGAGAAAAAAUAAGAGUGGAUAAAAGAAAGAAAGAAAACAGAGAAAGGUGGGAAAAAAAAAACAAAGGAAGGAAGAGAGAAAAGAGAAUGAGAGGAAGAGAAGGAAGGGGAAAAACAAGAUUGACUUUACAGUAUGAGAUAUACUAUUAUAUAUUGUAGUAUGAUGCCUCUGGCUUCCCUCUAUCACACGUCUUCUUUUCGAGUAAAGGUUUUUCAUAAAUGUGAGCGUGGAAGAAGAAACCAGUUAAAUAUGGAACUUCACACCAGGACACAAAAGGACUUCAAACUUUUAGAUUCCACAAGUAUGUGAAAAGAUGCAGUAUUUGUCUUUCUGUGCAUGGUUUACUUCACUUAUCAUCAUGUCCCUCAGGUUCAUCCACGUUGUUGCAAAUGACAGGAUUUCAUUCAUUUUUAAGACUGAAUAGUACUCCAUUAUGCAAAUAUACCAGAUUUUCAUUGUCUAUUCGUUCACUGAUGAACACGGGUUAAUCCUAUAUGUUGGCUAUUGUGAAUAAAGCUGCAAUGAAUAUGAG